UAUUACUUUGUGCUGAAAGCUGAAUUCUUUCCCUCAGGUGUAAACAGGUGUUCUGAUUGUAGGCUGUAGCUGGGGAAGUCUGGCACUGGCUGCUUCUUCCUACGACCAAGCGACGCUGCUUCAUCAAUGAGAAACUUUAACUUGGAUUUAUUUAUGUUAUCAUCGCUCCCAGGGUUGUGAUAACACUCCAUCAAAGGCUUCAGCUUUCUGAAGACUCAGUGUUCCUCAGGCACAGCUUCUACAGCCAAACAGUUGCAGUACUGCCUCAGGGUUGUACAUCUCCACCAACUGGUUCAACUGCAGUUUACAUCCGUCUGUCAGACUGCCUGCAAUAAGUACAGUAACGAGUCUGCAGGAAUUUAACAGAGAGAUUGUAGAAAAGCUUAAGGGGAUUUCUGAAGAAGUACAUUCAACCCCUGAAGAAGAUGAAAAGUUAAGAAAUUGUAUCAUCCAAUCAGCUAACAAGACUCAGAGCCUGGUUGAUGAGUGUGCUGUAAUGAAGACUGACCUCAGAGAGAUUUUUAAUAACAAUGUCCGUGGGAGAUGAGAGUGGGAGGAUGUAAACCGUUGGUGAAUUCCAGUCAUAGGAUGCUAAUGCUUUGUGACAUCACACAUUAAACAGGAAACAGGGUAGGUGGAAAGGUGCAGGGUCCAUCAAGCUCAAGCAGACUCAGCAGAUUCAGCUGAGCAGGCUUUUGCAACAUUUGCAGAGUUGAUCAAAAUCAAUGCUGUGUGUUUUUGUGUUAGAUUCAGUCCUGCAGUGCUGUGCAGGAAACUGUGAGCAGGACAGAAGAGAAGAGAAGAGCUGCUUUCUGCACUCAAGCUAAAGCUUUAACAUCCUCAACAAAGAGCAGCUUCACUCAUCGUAGACUCUCACAGGAAGUCAUGUGGGAGCUGCUGUUGAUCUUCAGUCUGCUUUGCUGGACGUCUGAGGGCAGUGUGACCUGCAGAAAUGAAAACAAUGGUGAAGUGGACUGGUAAGUCUCCUCAUAAUAUACAUAUAUGUGUAUGGAAGGACGGGCCCCUGCAUGGUAUGUACCACUGGCAGACAGAGGAAGUGGCUGAUAUCCAGAAGUCCUAUCAAUGGCUUGAAAAAGCUGGACUGAAAGACAGCACGGGGGCACUAAUCAUGGCAGCACAGGAACAAACUCUGAGCACAAGAUCCA